rnacentral:SRP_RNA from 1 species
GCAGAGCUCCCAGGCUGAGCCUGAAAUUGUAAGUGCGAGAGGCUGAAGCCGGCGGAUCGCUUGAGCUCAGGCGCUCUGGGCUGCAGUGGGCUGUGCCUAUCGGGUGUCCGCACUAAAUUCAGCAUCAAUAUGGUGAUCCCUGCAGAGCUUGGGGUCCCCAGGUUGCCUAAGGAGGGGUGAACCGGCCCAGGUCAGGAACGGAGCAGGUCAAAACUCCCGUGCCGAUCACACCUGUGAAUAGCCCCUGGGCAGACAGCGAGACACGGUCUCAU